GACAGAGGGUGCAAACGUUGUUCGGAAUUACUGGGCGUAAAGCGCGCGUAGGCGGCUUUGUAAGUUAGAGGUGAAAGCCCGGGGCUCAACCCCGGAAUUGCCUUUAAGACUGCAUCGCUUGAAUCCGGGAGAGGUGAGUGGAAUUCCGAGUGUAGAGGUGAAAUUCGUAGAUAUUCGGAAGAACACCAGUGGCGAAGGCGGCUCACUGGACCGGCAUUGAC
rnacentral:rRNA from 1 species